rnacentral:rRNA from 3 species
GUUAUAUGGUCAAGUGAAGAAGCGCAUACGGUGGAUGCCUUGGCAGUCAGAGGCGAUGAAAGACGUGGUAGCCUGCGAAAAGCUUCGGGGAGUCGGCAAACAGACUGUGAUCCGGAGAUGUCUGAAUGGGGGAACCCAGCCAUCAUAAGAUGGUUAUCUUACACUGAAUACAUAGGUGUAAGAGGCGAACCAGGGGAACUGAAACAUCUAAGUACCCUGAGGAAAAGAAAUCAACCGAGAUUCCCUUAGUAGUGGCGAGCGAACGGGGACCAGCCCUUAAGUUGUAUUGAGAUUAGCGGAACGCUCUGGAAAGUGCGGCCAUAGUGGGUGAUAGCCCUGUACGCGAAAAUCCCUUUGCAAUGAAAUCGAGUAGGACGGGGCACGAGAAACCUUGUCUGAAUAUGGGGGGACCAUCCUCCAAGGCUAAAUACUACUGACUGACCGAUAGUGAACCAGUACCGUGAGGGAAAGGCGAAAAGAACCGCGGAGAGCGGAGUGAAAUAGAUCCUGAAACCGUAUGCGUACAAGCAGUGGGAGCCCACUUUGUUGGGUGACUGCGUACCUUUUGUAUAAUGGGUCAGCGACUUAUUUUCAGUGGCGAGCUUAACCGAAUAGGGGAGGCGUAGCGAAAGCGAGUCUUAAUAGGGCGUCUAGUCGCUGGGAAUAGACCCGAAACCGGGCGAUCUAUCCAUGGGCAGGUUGAAGGUUGGGUAACACUAACUGGAGGACCGAACCGACUACCGUUGAAAAGUUAGCGGAUGACCUGUGGAUCGGAGUGAAAGGCUAAUCAAGCUCGGAGAUAGCUGGUUCUCCUCGAAAGCUAUUUAGGUAGCGCCUCAUGUAUCACUGUAGGGGGUAGAGCACUGUUUCGGCUAGGGGGUCAUCCCGACUUACCAAACCGAUGCAAACUCCGAAUACCUACAAGUGCCGAGCAUGGGAGACACACGGCGGGUGCUAACGUCCGUCGUGAAAAGGGAAACAACCCAGACCGUCAGCUAAGGUCCCAAAGUCAUGGUUAAGUGGGAAACGAUGUGGGAAGGCUUAGACAGCUAGGAGGUUGGCUUAGAAGCAGCCACCCUUUAAAGAAAGCGUAAUAGCUCACUAGUCGAGUCGGCCUGCGCGGAAGAUGUAACGGGGCUCAAACCAUGCACCGAAGCUACGGGUAUCAUCUUAUGAUGAUGCGGUAGAGGAGCGUUCUGUAAGCCUGUGAAGGUGAGUUGAGAAGCUUGCUGGAGGUAUCAGAAGUGCGAAUGCUGACAUGAGUAACGACAAUGGGUGUGAAAAACACCCACGCCGAAAGACCAAGGUUUCCUGCGCAACGUUAAUCGACGCAGGGUUAGUCGGUCCCUAAGGCGAGGCUGAAAAGCGUAGUCGAUGGAAAACAGGUUAAUAUUCCUGUACUUCUGGUUAUUGCGAUGGAGGGACGGAGAAGGCUAGGCCAGCCUGGCGUUGGUAGUCCAGGUUUAAGGUGGUAGGCUGAGAUCUUAGGUAAAUCCGGGAUCUUAAGGCCGAGAGCUGAUGACGAGUGUUCUUUUAGAACAUGAAGUGGUUGAUGCCAUGCUUCCAAGAAAAGCUUCUAAGCUUCAGGUAACCAGGAACCGUACCCCAAACCGACACAGGUGGUUGGGUAGAGAAUACCAAGGCGCUUGAGAGAACUCGGGUGAAGGAACUAGGCAAAAUGGCACCGUAACUUCGGGAGAAGGUGCGCCGGUGAGGGUGAAGCAUUUACUGCGUAAGCCCACGCCGGUCGAAGAUACCAGGCCGCUGCGACUGUUUAUUAAAAACACAGCACUCUGCAAACACGAAAGUGGACGUAUAGGGUGUGACGCCUGCCCGGUGCCGGAAGGUUAAUUGAUGGGGUUAGCGCAAGCGAAGCUCUUGAUCGAAGCCCCGGUAAACGGCGGCCGUAACUAUAACGGUCCUAAGGUAGCGAAAUUCCUUGUCGGGUAAGUUCCGACCUGCACGAAUGGCGUAACGAUGGCGGCGCUGUCUCCACCCGAGACUCAGUGAAAUUGAAAUCGCUGUGAAGAUGCAGUGUAUCCGCGGCUAGACGGAAAGACCCCGUGAACCUUUACUAUAGCUUUGCACUGGACUUUGAAUUUGCUUGUGUAGGAUAGGUGGGAGGCUUUGAAGCGUGGACGCCAGUCUGCGUGGAGCCAACCUUGAAAUACCACCCUGGCAACUUUGAGGUUCUAACUCAGGUCCGUUAUCCGGAUCGAGGACAGUGUAUGGUGGGUAGUUUGACUGGGGCGGUCUCCUCCUAAAGAGUAACGGAGGAGUACGAAGGUGCGCUCAGACCGGUCGGAAAUCGGUCGUAGAGUAUAAAGGCAAAAGCGCGCUUGACUGCGAGACAGACACGUCGAGCAGGUACGAAAGUAGGUCUUAGUGAUCCGGUGGUUCUGUAUGGAAGGGCCAUCGCUCAACGGAUAAAAGGUACUCCGGGGAUAACAGGCUGAUACCGCCCAAGAGUUCAUAUCGACGGCGGUGUUUGGCACCUCGAUGUCGGCUCAUCACAUCCUGGGGCUGAAGCCGGUCCCAAGGGUAUGGCUGUUCGCCAUUUAAAGUGGUACGCGAGCUGGGUUUAGAACGUCGUGAGACAGUUCGGUCCCUAUCUGCCGUGGACGUUUGAGAUUUGAGAGGGGCUGCUCCUAGUACGAGAGGACCGGAGUGGACGAACCUCUGGUGUUCCGGUUGUCACGCCAGUGGCAUUGCCGGGUAGCUAUGUUCGGAAAAGAUAACCGCUGAAAGCAUCUAAGCGGGAAACUUGCCUCAAGAUGAGAUCUCACUGGAACCUUGAGUUCCCUGAAGGGCCGUCGAAGACUACGACGUUGAUAGGUUGGGUGUGUAAGCGCUGUGAGGCGUUGAGCUAACCAAUACUAAUUGCCCGUGAGGCUUGACCAUAUAACACCCAAGCAAUU